CCAGAGACCUCAGGGGUGGCAGGAAGAGGAAGCAAAUGUAUAGUCUACGCUGGCUGCAUACCAGAAAGCCAUGUUCUAGCAGCUCCCCCUACUCCCAGCUUUUGGCCUGAGCUGCUGCAGGUAGUAAGGACUUACAAAAAUGAGAGAGAGACUUCAGUGCAUUAAGAGCCAAAUCUGAGCUGAGUGAGGAGGGAAAACAGAGAACAGUACAUCACCAUCUUCCUUACAAUCACCUUUGCUGUAUUUGAAGACUGUUACCAAAUCUCCCCAUAACCUCCUCUUCUCCAGUUUCGGGAUUAGACCUUUGCUGAUUAGAGCAGAAGAAUAUCUUCCUUGGACUUGCAGGAGACACUUCUGGAAAUAGGUGUUUUCGAUGAACAUAAGACUUCCUUCCUAUCUCAUUCUGCUAAUGGAUGGAAAUCUAGCAACAUGAAGCAAGUACUAAAGCACUCUAAGGACUGAGGUCAUCCCUGUAUAACUUGAAGGAAGAAAUGAAUAACAAGAAUCAGGGAAGGCAACUAAUGUGCAAUUACUUUUUGUGGAAUUUUUGUUCUGGAUGAUGGAACAUUACAAAAUUUCAGUUCCUGUUGGAUUCUGAAGUAGUGACACCUUGCACUGCUGGGGCUUUGAAAACUGGUGGAGUUUUGUUAUUAAUUUCUGCAUUCCAUUUUUUUCUAAAUAUUAUUAUUUUUAGAACUCUUUGGGGUUUAAUUCAUUGUUGCAGAAGGAGCUACAUGGUUAAAAUAUAUUUUAAAAAUUUGAAAAAAAAAAAAAAACUUCUGCAGAUGCAAUCAAUUAGAAAGAAUAUCUGAGAAAUUCAGUUAUAACCUGGAUCUAUAAUAAAUUGUGUUGCCAGAAGGGAAAUCUGAACUUAAUCCCCUAACUAAUAAAGAGGUGACAGGCCUCCUUGUAGAAUUAAUAAUUGCUCAGAAUGCAUUUAUAUUUCCUUACAUAGUGAAACUUGCUGUCCUGCAAGUUUCGUUCUCAGUAUAAUGAAGACCAACUCAGUAUCAUGUUCCGAGUUAGAUGCUCAAUUUUUCAUGAAUUCUGUGUUCAGAAGAGAUGAAUCAUUUGUAAGUUAUGGAUAAGAUUAAAAUAAUUAUUUAGAGGGGCUCUCUGUUUCUUCAUACACUAACCAUAGUACCUUUCAUUUGAUAUCGUGCACUUCUGACACCUGACACUGGAUCAUACGAUAUUUGACUUAUGAUACUACCUAGUGAUUCCACCUAGUGAUUUCUAUUACUUGAAGCUAACACAUUAGGCCCAAUAUUGUAGUACAAGCAAUAUCAAAGA